ACUAACAGACCAAUCAACUUCCUUAUGCAUACGAUUAUGCAGCUAUGUAAAAGUCUGUGCUGCGGCCUUAAGAAUCAUUAAUGUUUCCAUAGCGACGCUAUGGUCCAAAUUAUUCCGUUCAACCAUAUAUGUAAUACUCCUAUAUUGCUAACGGCAAUGGAGAGCUGCCGAAAACAUCGGUGCAGACGAUCGUUUCUCACUUCCACAAUUCGUGUACUUUCGCAAUGCGCAUGCACGUGUUCCCAACCUAUAUUUCAUUACCACGUUUAUUGUGUCCGACCAGUUCGACGUAUUCAUCAGUAGCUUUAUAUAUUUCUGUAUUCAGUGUUCAGUAGUGAAUAUUUAAAAAAGGAAAUAAUGCCGCGAUCUUGUUAUUUGUGUCAAAGAAAAACCACGGAGGAUGAAAAGAUUACUUUACAUAAAUUUCCGAAAACACCCGAAAUACGAAAAAAAUAGAUCGACGCUUGCGGAUUCCAUGAAAAAAAUGUGUCCAAAAUUUAUAUUUGCUCACAUCACUUUGAUUUACCUAAUAACACUGAAAAGAGAUUACCUCCUGGGGCUAUACCCACUGUACAAAUAACUGUACCAAAUCAAUCAGUUGAAUUAUCAAAUGCAU